UACGUAGGGGGCAAGCGUUGUCCGGAUUUACUGGGCGUAAAGAGCGCGUAGGCGGAAGCUUAAGUGUGGCCUGAAGGCCCCCGGCUCAACCGGGGAGUGCGGCUGCAAACUGGGCUUCUUGAGGGCGGCAGAGGAGAGUGGAAUUCCUGGUGUAGCGGUGAAAUGCGUAGAUAUCUGGAGGAACACCGGUGGCGAAGGCGGCAUCCUGGACCAUUACUGACGCUGAGGAGCGAAAGCCAGGGGAGCAAACGGG
rnacentral:rRNA from 1 species